rnacentral:rRNA from 1 species
CAAGUCUCGUUGGUGACCAGCGGAGGGACAUUACCGAGUUUACAACUCCCAAACCCAAUGUGAACGUUACCAAACUGUUGCCUCGGCGGGAUCUCUGCCCCGGGUGCGUCGCACCCCCGGACCAAGGCGCCCGCCGGAGGACCAACCAAAACUCUUAUUGUAUACCCCCUCGCGGGUUUUUUUAUAAUCUGAGCCUUCUCGGCGCCUCUCGUAGGCGUUUCGAAAAUGAAUCAAAACUUUCAACAACGGAUCUCUUGGUUCUGGCAUCGAUGAAGAACGCAGCGAAAUGCGAUAAGUAAUGUGAAUUGCAGAAUUCAGUGAAUCAUCGAAUCUUUGAACGCACAUUGCGCCCGCCAGUAUUCUGGCGGGCAUGCCUGUCCGAGCGUCAUUUCAACCCUCGAACCCCUCCGGGGGGUCGGCGUUGGGGAUCGGCCCUGCCUUGGCGGUGGCCGUCUCCGAAAUACAGUGGCGGUCUCGCCGCGGCCUCUCCUGCGCAGUAGUUUGCACACUCGCAUCGGGAGCGCGGCGCGUCCACAGCCGUUAAACACCCAACUUCUGAAAUGUUGACCUCGGAUCAGGUAGGAAUACCCGCUGAACUUAAGCAUAUCAAUAAGCGGAGGA